CACAUACUCCCUCCGUCCGGAAAUACCUGUCAUCAAAAUGAAUAAAAGGCAAAAAAAAUGAAUAAAAGGAGAUGUAUCUGGACAUAUUUUAGUUUGAGAUACAUCUCUUUUUAUUCAUUUUGAUGACAAGUAUUUUCGGACGGAGGGAGUACACC
rfam:Triticum aestivum genome assembly, contig: Triticum_aestivum_CS42_TGACv1_scaffold_328239_4BS